AUGAUUGGUGAAAUGGAUGUGGAUAGUGUUGUAGACUACUUCAGGGGCAAGAGCAUCCUCAUCACUGGAUCAACGGGGUUCCUAGGAAAAGUGCUUGUUGAGAAGAUAUUGAGGGUUCAGCCUGAUGUCAAGAAGAUCUUUCUCUUGAUUCGGGCCUCCAAUGUUGAAUCCGCAAAGUUUCGGAUUCAAAAUGAGGUGAAUUAUUUGUUUCAAGCUGUCCUUUCUGCUAACAGUACACUUUCUUGA
rnacentral:rRNA from 1 species